CGUUGAAGCAUGUUCUUGCGGGAACAUAGGAGCCAUCAGUGAGAUACCACUCUUUUGAUGUUAGAUUUCUAACCUUGAACCAUUAUCUGGUCAAGGAACAGUUUCAGGCGGGCAGUUUGACUGGGGCGGUCGCCUCCUAAACGGUAACGGAGGCGUACAAAGGUUUCCUCUGAACGAAUAGAAAUCGUAUCUAGAGUAUAAAGGCAUAAGGAAGCUUGACUGUGAGACCUACAAGUCGAGCAGGGACGAAAGUCGGUCUAAGUGAUCUGACGGUACUGAGUGGAGAGGCCGUCACUCUACGGAUAAAAGUUACUCUAGGGAUAACA
rnacentral:rRNA from 1 species